GUCUUCUUGUUAUAUUUAAGAAGUCUGGCCUGCCCAGUGAAAAUAUUUUAACGGCCGCGGUAUAUUGACCGUGCAAAGGUAGCAUAAUCAUUAGUCUUUUAAUAGAGGGCUGGUAUGAAGGGUUUAACGAGGUGUUGACUGUCUCAUUUAAUUUGGAUUUAGAAUUUAAUUUUUUAGUUAAAAAGCUAAAAUUUUAUUGGAAGACGAGAAGACCCUAUAGAGCUUUAUAUUUGUAUUAUUAGUUGGGUGUUGAUUAUUAUUACUUAUUAUUAAUAUUAAAUAUUUUGUUGGGGUGACAAGAAUAUAUAAUUAACUUUUUUAUUUAGUUAACAUUGAUUUAUGAAUAGUGGAUCCAAUCUUAUUGAUUGAUAGAUUAAGUUACCUUAGGGAUAACAGCGUAAUCCUCCUUCAGAGUUCAUAUUUACAGGGGGGCUUGCGACCUCGAUGUUGGAUUAAGAUAAUAAUUAGGUGUAGCCGCUUAAUUAAAUAGGUCUGUUCGACCUUUAAAUUCUU
rnacentral:rRNA from 1 species